rnacentral:rRNA from 1 species
CCGGUAAACGGCGGCCGUAACUAUAACGGUCCUAAGGUAGCGAAAUUCCUUGUCGGGUAAGUUCCGACCUGCACGAAUGGCGUAAUGAUGGCCAGGCUGUCUCCACCCGAGACUCAGUGAAAUUGAACUCGCUGUGAAGAUGCAGUGUACCCGCGGCAAGACGGAAAGACCCCGUGAACCUUUACUAUAGCUUGACACUGAACAUUGAGCCUUGAUGUGUAGGAUAGGUGGGAGGCUUUGAAGUGUGGACGCCAGUCUGCAUGGAGCCGACCUUGAAAUACCACCCUUUAAUGUUUGAUGUUCUAACGUUGGCCCCUGAUCGGGGUUGCGGACAGUGUCUGGUGGGUAGUUUGACUGGGGCGGUCUCCUCCUAAAGAGUAACGGAGGAGCACGAAGGUUGGCUAAUCCUGGUCGGACAUCAGGAGGUUAGUGCAAUGGCAUAAGCCAGCUUGACUGCGAGCGUGACGGCGCGAGCAGGUGCGAAAGCAGGUCAUAGUGAUCCGGUGGUUCUGAAUGGAAGGGCCAUCGCUCAACGGAUAAAAGGUACUCCGGGGAUAACAGGCUGAUACCGCCCAAGAGUUCAUAUCGACGGCGGUGUUUGGCACCUCGAUGUCGGCUCAUCACAUCCUGGGGCUGAAGUAGGUCCCAAGGGUAUGGCUGUUCGCCAUUUAAAGUGGUACGCGAGCUGGGUUUAGAACGUCGUGAGACAGUUCGGUCCCUAUCUGCCGUGGGCGCUGGAGAACUGAGGGGGGCUGCUCCUAGUACGAGAGGACCGGAGUGGACGCAUCACUGGUGUUCGGGUUGUCAUGCCAAUGGCACUGCCCGGUAGCUAAAUGCGGAAGAGAUAAGUGCUGAAAGCAUCUAAGCACGAAACUUGCCCCGAGAUGAGUUCUCCCUGACUCCUUGAGAGUCCUGAAGGAACGUUGAAGACGACGACGUUGAUAGGCCGGGUGUGUAAGCGCAGCGAUGCGUUGAGCUAACCGGUACUAAUGAACCGUGAGGCUUAACCUUACAAC